rnacentral:rRNA from 1 species
CAAUAGCGUAUAUUUAAGUUGUUGCAGUUAAAAAGCUCGUAGUUGGAUUUCGGGUUGGCUUCAGCGGUCUCGCUUUGCGUUUGUACUGCUGCAGCCUACCUUCUUGUCGGGGACGGGCCUUCGGGCUUAAUUGCUUGGGGCCCGGAGUCGACGAUGUUACCUUGAGUAAAUUAGAGUGUUCAAAGCAAGCCUACGCUCUGAAUAUAAUAGCAUGGGAUAACACGACAGGACUCUGGCCUAUCGUGUUGGUCUGUAGGACCAGAGUAAUGAUUAAGAGGGACAGUCGGGGGCAUUCGUAUUCCGUUGUCAGAGGUGAAAUUCUUGGAUUUACGGAAGACGAACAUCUGCGAAAGCAUUUGCCAAGGAUGUUUUCAUUGA